rnacentral:lncRNA from 1 species
GGAGAAGCGUGCUGCUCCGCCGAGGCCGCGGGGGGCGGAGGUGUGUGCCAGGCAGGAAGCCUCAGGCCCGGGAGGCGGAACUUGGCCCCCCUCUCGGCGGCCUCUACGGCCGGGUUAAGCGAGUUCAGAGGAAGCAGAGAGCGAGUUUCCCAGAACUCGGGGGUCUGGGGGAGGGGAGGGGGAGGAAGGGAAGGGACGGCGCUCAAAACGAAACCUGCGGGGGGCCGGCCCCACCCCGCCCCGGGCUCUGAUGACCAGGUGCGCACGGGGCCAGGUCCCCGGGCCAGGUGGGUGGAGGACCGGCCUGUCCUGCCGUCUCCGUGGCAACAGCAGGGCGGGCGGCUCAGGGAGGGGGGAGGGCGAGGCCUGGGCCCCACUGGCCCCAACGAGGCCGAGGUUCGGGUUUCUGCCCCGGCUUCCCAGGGGACAGAGGGCGCGGGCCCAGAGCCGCACUGGGGAACCCGGCCUCCGGUGAGCAUCACCCACAGCCACCUGGGGCAGCGGGACCUCCCGUGUGCGCAUCGGGCGCAGAGCCCCGGGGAGGGUGCCCAAGGCGACAGGAGGCCAGUCGAGAGACGCCGACCUCCCCCGGGGUGGACGCUGCAGCCCGGCCUCCACCUCGUCAGUGUCUGCGGUCCACAGGGCGCUGGGCUCCCGUGCAGGCCCCGUGGGGGUCCUGGAGGAUGGAGGAGCAGCCCCCCAUGGCUUCAGGGGCCCCAGAGCUGGCCACGGUGCCCGAGAGAGCUCACCGCGCCCCAGAGCCAGCGUGGGGCAGACCCCGGGAGACGGCGUCCGGCUGAGGACCACCUGCGAAGGACAAAGGACAAUGACCCAGAGCCCUGGGGGCGCAGAGGGCAUCCCGGAGCCGGGGAACCAGCCUGAGCAAAGGCUGGCGGUGAAACUGCAUCACGGGGACCCCUGGAGAGACCGGCCUGGUUGGGGGUAUGCACUAGGGGUCGGGGGUCAAAGGCCUUAACAAGCGUCCAGCAGAGCAGUGACCACUCGGGGCGGGCGAGGAGGGGGGCUCGGCUCAGGAGGGGUCAGGAGGCCCCGCUGUAUCCGGGGGACCCUUCGAUUUCUGGGGCUUGGGGGGGGAGCGAGGGGCCUCCCAGCCGGACAGGAGCGCAUCAGCUUUGCCACGCCCGUCGGCCGUGGGCACAGGACCGGGUGGCCCUCAGGACGCUGCUUCUGGGGUGCCCUGAGCCCCGUCACACUCAGCACGGUUCCCGGCCCCCGGUAAACCCCCUGCAAGUCAGCUGGUCACCCUCAGAGGAGUUAAACAGGGAGCGACCUUCGGACCUGGCACUUCAGCCCUGUGACCACACGGGAGAAAUGAAGACAUGUGUCCACACAGACGCUUACUCCUGAAUGUCCACGGCAGCACGAGUCACGAGAGCUAAAAAGUGGACACAACCCAAACAUCCAUCACCAGAUGAUGGACACACACACGUGUCCCUCCACACACUGGGACACGACGCAGCCGUGAAGAGGAGCGAGGCCCUGACAUGGCCACACGUGGACGGACCUGAACACGCGACGCUCAGAGAGAGAAGCAGACACAGAAGGACACACGGCGUGUGACCCCAUUGACAUGAAACAUCCAGAACAGGCCGAUCCACAGACAGAGAGCAGGCUCGUGGGGGCCAGGGGCUGGGGAGGGACUGCUCAUGGGGAAAGGGCUUCUUUUUAGGGUGAUGGAAUGUUCUGGAACAAGAUCAAGGUGAUGGUUGCACAACUAUGUGAAUGCACUGAAAAGCCCUAAAUUGUACCCUUGAAAUGUUUUAAGGGGUGGAUUUGACCUUAAUAAAAAAGUCAGCUGCUGGCA